UGACCCCUACGGGACGCAGCAGUGGGGAAUAUUGCGCAAUGGGCGAAAGCCUGACGCAGCGACGCCGCGUGAGGGAUGAAGGUCUUCGGAUCGUAAACCUCUGUCAGCAGGGAAGAACGGUCACUGUGCUAAUCAGCAGUGAAUUGACGGUACCUGCAAAGGAAGCACCGGCUAACUCCGUGCCAGCAGCCGCGGUAAUACGUAGGGUGCGAUCGUUAAUCGGAAUUACUGGGCGUCAAGCGCUCGUAGGCGGUCUGUCCAGUCAAGGGUGAAAUCCCCGCGCUCAACGUG
rnacentral:rRNA from 1 species